rnacentral:rRNA from 1 species
GGGUACCGUCAUUAUCUUCCCCACUGACAGGUGUUUACACCCCGAAGGGCUUCCUCCACCACGCGGCGUCGCUGGGUCAGCCUUCCGGCCAUUGCCCAAGAUUCCCCACUGCUGCCCCCCGUAGGGGUGCGGGCCGUGUCUCAGUCCCACUGUGGCUGGCCAUCCUCUCAGACCAGCUACCCGUCGUCGGCUUGGUGAGCCUUUACCUCACCAACUACCUGAUGGGACGCAGCCCCAUCCUCAGGCGCCCGAAGGCCUUUGGAGGCACAUCUAUUGAUACGCCUCUUUAUUGGGUAUUAGCCCCCCUUUCGAGGGGUUAUCCCCAUCCUGAGGGUAGGUUAGCUACGCGUUACUCACCCGUUCGCCGGUCGCCAGCACCUUUUCCNAAGAAAAGGCCUGCUGCCCCUCGACUUGCAUGUGUUAGGCGCGCCGCCAACGUUCGCGCUGAGCCAGGAUCAAACUCUAAGGGCGAAUUCGUUUAAACCUGCAGGACUAGUCCCUUUAGUGAGGGUUAAUUCUGAGCUUGGCGUAAUCAUGGUCAUAGCUGUUUCCUGUGUGAAAUUGUUAUCCGCUCACAAAUUCCACACAACAUACGAGCCG